AUAUAGGUUACAUUACACUAAAUCAUUGUGUAUCCCUCCGUGGUCCAUUCGAAAGUAGUGCCUAUUUCUAAAGAGUUCCUUUUCUCUUCUUGAAUAUAAGCCAUUUAACAAUGUGAGACAUGUCUUUUGUGGUUAUUUGUAAUAUCCUGUAUGUGUCUGGAGUACUUUGAUGCCUUGGAUUGGAAGCUAACUUAAAAGAUGAACUUUUGAGGGUGUGUUUUCUAUUGUGUGGGGCUUUUGUCGAAAUUAGGAUUCCGAAACACGUUUUUCUACGGUGGGUUCAUUCGACAGCGAUUUACUUUCUUAGAAGUUGCGAGACGGUAUGUUUUUGAUUGCAAUUAUUGGAAGAUGACAGAUCCAUCUUUAAAAUGAUACCAGGUUCGGAAAAAUUGAUACGUCGGAAAGGCAAGAAAAAUGCUGUGAAAGUUGUCAGUUUUAUUAUGGGACCCUAUGGGAAUCGGAAUUAGUGUAAUAUAACCUUUAAAAAGCACAUUUACUGCAAUGUCAAGGUCACAUGGAUUCGUCUGCAAGCGAGACAAGUAGAAAAUGAAUUUUAAUGAAUGUUUUGAUGAUUUGGGUGCUAAAAUAGAUGAGAGGUGUCAAUAUUUUGGUCCAAAUGGAUGUUUUAGGUGGUUUUGGACUGUUCCGGAUGGGUGGGGGACCUGGUAUGGACAAGUAAGGGUAACAUUUCCAACAAAUCUUAAAUGUAAAUAUUAUUAUGUCCAUAGAUUGAAGUUUCAGGUGGAGAGCAAGAUGAAAAAUAUGCAAAAUUACAUGCAUGCAACCCAUUUAUGCCAUUUUUCUCUUUGUUUGUAGGCCUGACCGUUUGUCCUUGAGCCGUAGAUGGUCAACAAUCCGCUAGCUGUCUUGCUCUGACUGGUGCACUGGACAUGAUUUCAAUAGUCAGCCAGACCAUGAUUGAGCUUAAGGGUUGUGCUGCGGAUGCAGCCUGUGCAGUUCCGGGAGAAAGUCACUGUCUCGGGCAAUGCGGUCUGGUAUCAGGUCUGGAUGAUCCUUGCCUGACUGCGGGUUUGUGUACACCUCAAUCCGACUCUGUGUCCUGAACAGAGGCCGCAGUGGUGCAGCGCUUGUGGACGAUCCAUCAACAUCCUGAAAGGUCAACACUACACCAAGCUGGGAAAAUUGAUCCUGAUAGUCAUCCCCAGGUAGUGGAAUGAAUGUUCACUGAACUACAGAGGAAUCACACCCAAAUGACUUUCCUGCCACGACAUUAGUGUGGCCACUCGCGUAGGAAUUCCUUAGCAAACAUGCUCUUUUGCAUGGUGACUGUGGACAUUUUUGCAAAACUUACGCUUUCAACACUGGAUUUUAAAGAGAAUACUUAAUAAAAUGUCGCUAACAGGACUUAUUUAUAUGAGAGAGACUAUCUGGAUGCGCAUUAAGUGUCACUUUGUGUCGUAAGCUGUUGAAGGAGCGAUUUGCGCCUUUUUAAGUGUUAAUUUUGGGUAGCCGGCUUGUAUCGGCUUGAAAGCUGAAAAUUAUGCCUCUCAUCAUAAUAGCAUUAAUUUUUGUAAUUGCAAUGUGUAUGUUUAGAUUGUAAGUGAAGCUUUUAAUAAUAAUUUUCUUAAAAAACAUGAUUUUAUAUGCUG